rnacentral:rRNA from 1 species
CCGGGCGGCUGUAGCGCGGUGGUCCCACCUGACCCCAUGCCGAACUCAGAAGUGAAACGCCGUAGCGCCGAUGGUAGUGUGGGGUCUCCCCAUGCGAGAGUAGGGAACUGCCAGGC